rnacentral:rRNA from 1 species
CACCGCGGUUAUACGAGAGGCUCAAGCGGACAGUCGCCGGCGUAAAGAGUGGUUAAUAUUACAAUAAACUAAAGCCGAACAUCUUCAAAGUUGUUGAAAGCAUUCGAAGACACGAAGACCUACUACGAAAGUGGCUUUACACUUUUUGACUCCACGAAAGCUAGGGAA